rnacentral:rRNA from 1 species
ACAGGGAUUGCCCUAGUAACGGCGAGUGAAGCGGCAAAAGCUCAGAUUUGAAAUCUGUGGCGGCCGAGUUGUAGUCUGUAGAGGUGUAUUCGAGUGUGGUCCUUGGAACAGGGCGUCAUAGAGGGUGAGAACCCCGUUAACGGCCUUUGUCUUAUGCUCAUGUGAAUCUCCUUCAACGAGUCGAGUUGUUUGGGAAUGCAGCUCUAAAUGGGUGGUAAAUUCCAUCUAAAGCUAAAUACUGGCAAGAGACCGAUAGCGCACAAGUAGAGUGAUCGAAAGAUGAAAAGAACUCUGAACAGAGAGUUAAAUAGUACGUGAAAUUGUUGAAAGGGAAGCACUUCCGACCAGACGCACUUGCAGCCGAUCAAUGGGUGCACUCGGUUGUCUGGGUCAGCAUCAGUUGGCGGUGGGAAAAAGGAAUGUGGCUCCUUCCUUUGGUGCAAUGCUGCCGCUGUGACUGAGGACCGCGCUUCGGUCGUAAGUGACCCGUCUUGAAACACGGACCAAGGAGUCUAACAUCUAUGCGAGUGUUUGGGUGUAAACCCUUACGCGGAAUGAAAGUAAAUGGAGGUGGGGUGCACCAUCGACCGAUCCUGAUGUUUUCGGAUGGAUUUGAGUAGGAGCAUAGCUGUUGGGACCCGAAAGAUGGUGAACUAUGCCUGAAUAGGGUGAAGCCAGAGGAAACUCUGGUGGAGGCUCGGUUCUGACGUGCAAAUCGAUCGUCAAAUUUGGGGCGAAAGACUAAUCG